UACGUAGGUGGCAAGCGUUGUCCGGAAUUAUUGGGCGUAAAGCGCGCGCAGGCGGUUUUUCAAGUCUGAUGUGAAAUCCCCCGGCUCAACCGGGGAGGGUCAUUGGAAACUGGGGAACUUGAGUGCAGAAGAGAAGAGUGGAAUUCCACGUGUAGCGGUGAAAUGCGUAGAGAUGUGGAGGAACACCAGUGGCGAAGGCGACUCUUUGGUCUGUAACUGACGCUGAGGCGCGAAAGCGUGGGGAGCAAACAGG
rnacentral:rRNA from 1 species